UUUUUUCUUCUGUCAG
rnacentral:sRNA from 1 species